GUCUUAAACUGCGGUUAAGAGGCGCGGAAUGCACAUUAAUUAUUUAACAGUUAAUUAUAUAGUUAAGAAAUUUUGAACCCGAGUUCAAAGUGCCGUUUGCACAUUAAUUCCUUAAACCCGAGUUCAAGAGUGUAAACUGCGGUUCAAAGUCUUAAACUGGGGUUAACAAGCGCGGAAUGUACAUUUAUUAUCUAACUGUUGAAUAUAUACAGUAAAAAUACUAAAAUGAAAGUUUUGACACACCAUGCGAAUGUCCUAUCAAGUAAAGGUGACGAUUAACCAAAAUGAAGUGUAAUAUAACCUAAUUCAAUGGGUUUUAUGCGGUGCGAGUGUUCACAAAACACCGGUUGACAUUGAAAAUGACAUGGGACGAUGAUGGGUAAAAAACAAUCUCGUCGAAUAACAUUUCUCAAUUAUCAACGAGUUUAAGCCGUUGACACUGCAUUGCAUGGGAAGAAAAGGUGAUAUUGGACCGGAGUUUCAGCGUUCAGAUUUAUUCUGAACGCGAAUUAUUUCAGCUACCUCUCCUAUACCACUAUACCAUUGUAACGAUUUGGAAAACAGACCGGUUCAUGUUGGACUUUGAAGCAGGUUGGCGGUCCUCUUCUGAAUGUUGUCAAUUACGUUGAGCGCACGUGGAUACGGGGAUCCAUGUGGAAGCCGGAGAACUGGACAAACAGUUAGGACUAACAACGAUGUUGAAGGCUGGCAUCGAAGAAUCAAUACGCGAGCCGGGCGCGCUGACUUAGGAUUCUACAUGCUCGUCCCCCUUAUACGUAUGAGGCGGCGACAGAGGACGUGACGAUUCGUCUAGUGUCGGAGCACUCGCUUGCCCGUAUCCAUAGAAGGAAAUACAAGGACGUCCACGGAAAACUAUUCGACACCUGGGACAAAUAUGAGGACGAUGAAAUCACCACCACUCAACUUCUGAGGCGAUGCAGCAACAUCGCAGGCCUUGGGCCCGAUUCAACACAUGACCCAAUCCACGACGAAGAUGUCUGAAAAAGAACAUGGACAUUUAAGAGACAGAAGUGUUGUUGUGUACAUAGUUGUAAAUAUUUAUUUUUGGUGUAAUAUUGUUUGGAAAUAAAUGUAUCUGGUGCGUAAAGGUAAGUAUAUUAUUGUACCGUUUAUUGAGUAUAUUUGUAUUUGAUUAUGUUUUAUAUGCAGAUAUUUAUUAACCAGGUUUUCCGAAGGAAAAAACUGGUUAUUAGAUUGGCGAAUGCGGGCGGGCUGGCGGGCGACGGAACAAGCUUGUCCGGGCCAUAACUAUGUCGUUCAUUGUCAGAUUUUAAAAUCAUUUGGCACAUUUGUUCACCAUCAUUGGACGGUGUGUCGCGCGAAAUAAUUACGUCGAUAUCUCCAUGGUCAAGGUCACACUUUGAGUUCAAAGGUCAAAAAUGGCCAUAAAUGAGCUUGUCCUGGCCAUAACUAUGUCAUUCAUUGUGAGAUUUUAAAAUCAUUUGGCACAUUUGUUCACCAUCAUGGGACGGUGUGUCGCACGAAAGAAUCACGUCAAUAUCUCCAAUGUCAAGGUCGCCACAACUAAAAAUAGAUUUUUUUAAAAAACAAACUUACAAAGGGAGUUAAUUUUGUUUGUUCAUUUCAAAAGUUCAGUUUGAGUUUUCUCCCUUUAUCAGAUUUUUUUUCACAAUGAAAACCUGGUUUUGUGACAAUUUUGUCCCUUGUUUUUGUUGUAAUAUUGCUGCAAAUAAAAGUGUGUUGUGUAAAGGUAAGUAUAUUAUUAUACCGUUUAUUGAGUAGAUUUGUGUUUGAUUGUAUCUUUAGGUUUUAUAUGCAAAUUUUUUUUUGUGUGUAAUAUUGCUUGCAAAUAAAUGUAUGUGUUGUGUAAAGGUAAGUAUAUUAUUAUACCGUUUAUUAAGUAGAUUUUUAUGUUAAUGUAUUGUGUAA